rnacentral:rRNA from 1 species
CCUACGGGAGGCUGCAGUGAGGAAUAUUGGUCAAUGGACGCAAGUCUGAACCAGCCAUGCCGCGUGCAGGAAGACGGCUCUAUGAGUGGUAAACUGCUUUUGUACGAGGGUAAACGCAGAUACGCGUAUCUUUCUGAAAGUAUCGUACGAAUAAGGAUCGGCUAAAUCCGUGCCAGCAGCCGCGGUAAUACGGAGGAUUCAAGCGUUAUCCGGAUUUAUUGGGUUUAAAGGGUGCGUAGGCGGUCGGAUAAGUUAGAGGUGAAAUCCCGAGGCUAAACAUCGGAAUUGCCAUUGAUACUGUUCGGCUCGAGAGUAGUUGCGGUAGGCGGAAUGUAUGGUGUAGCGGUGAAAUGCUUAGAGAUCAUACAGAACACCGAUUGCGAAGGCAGCUUACCAAGCUACUUCUGACAUUGAGGCACGAAAGCGUGGGGAGCAAACAGGAUUAGAUACCCUUGUAGUC